rnacentral:rRNA from 1 species
CACUCCUACGGGAGGCAGCAGUGGGGAAUAUUGGACAAUGGGCGCAAGCCUGAUCCAGCCAUGCCGCGUGAGUGAUGAAGGCCCUAGGGUUGUAAAGCUCUUUCACCGGUGAAGAUAAUGACGGUAACCGGAGAAGAAGCCCCGGCUAACUUCGUGCCAGCAGCCGCGGUAAUACGAAGGGGGCUAGCGUUGUUCGGAUUUACUGGGCGUAAAGCGCACGUAGGCGGACUAUUAAGUCAGGGGUGAAAUCCCGGGGCUCAACCCCGGAACUGCCUUUGAUACUGGUAGUCUUGAGUUCGAGAGAGGUGAGUGGAAUUCCGAGUGUAGAGGUGAAAUUCGUAGAUAUUCGGAGGAACACCAGUGGCGAAGGCGGCUCACUGGCUCGAUACUGACGCUGAGGUGCGAAAGCGUGGGGAGCAAACAGGAUUAGAAACCCCGGUAGUCC